rnacentral:rRNA from 1 species
UAGGGAAUCUUCGGCAAUGGGGGGAACCCUGACCGAGCAACGCCGCGUGAGUGAAGAAGGUUUUCGGAUCGUAAAGCUCUGUUGUUAAGGAAGAACGAGUGUGAGAAUGGAAAGUUCAUGCUGUGACGGUACUUAACCAGAAAGGGACGGCUAACUACGUGCCAGCAGCCGCGGUAAUACGUAGGUCCCGAGCGUUGUCCGGAUUUAUUGGGCGUAAAGCGAGCGCAGGCGGUUAGAAAAGUCUGAAGUGAAAGGCAGUGGCUCAACCAUUGUAGGCUUUGGAAACUGUUUAACUUGAGUGCAGAAGGGGAGAGUGGAAUUCCAUGUGUAGCGGUGAAAUGCGUAGAUAUAUGGAGGAACACCGGUGGCGAAAGCGGCUCUCUGGUCUGUAACUGACGCUGAGGCUGGAAAGCGUGGGGAGCGAACAGG